rnacentral:rRNA from 1 species
GGGUUUGACAUAUAGGUUGUAGGGAACUGAAAAGGGACGACCUUCGGGGAGCUUAUACAGGUGUUGCAUGGCUGUCGUCAGCUCGUGUCGUGAGAUGUUCGGUUAAGUCCGCUAACGAGCGCAACCCUCGCCGUAUGUUACAAGUGUCAUACGGGACUGCCGGUAAAAGCCGGAGGAAGGUGAGGAUGAUGUCAAGUCAGCAUGACCUUUAUAUCCAGGGCUACACACACGCUACAAUGGUCUGUACAAUUGGUUGCCAAGCCGCGAGGCGGAGCCAAUCCGUAAAGCAGGCCUCAGUUCAGAUUGCAGUCUGCAACUCGACUGCAUGAAGCCGGAGUUGCUAGUAACCGCAGGUCAGCAAUACUGCGGUGAAUACGUUCCCGGGUCUU